CUCUCUCUCUCUCUCUCUCUCUCUCUCUCUCUGAAAUUUUUUUGAGUGCAAGCGUUUGAAUCUGUGAACAAAAGAGAAGAUGAAUGAGAGUGCCAUGGCGGUCUCAAUUUCUGCCCUAAACCUUACUGAAUCGGUCUUUUUAAUCCCUCCGUAAACGCCCAAAUCAGACCUUCAAGAUGGGUUGUUGUUUUGGAUUCUUAUAGAUGAAUUGUUGCUUUGGAUUCUUAUAAUGUCAAAAUAGUUUGUUGUUGUUUUGGAUUUGGAUUCUUAUAACAAAUGAUUUGUUUUUUUUUCAUGCCUUCAAACUGUUUGAUAAAAUGUCUCUUAGGCUUUUCAAAAUUCUAAGCCACAAGCCUAACUUCUUGGCAGUGUAAUUGGUGCUCAAACAUGUACUAAACCAAGCCCACAACAGCUCCAAAUCUUAAUCUGUUGAAGCCACUGCCUGCAUAUUCAAAUCUUGAUCUGUUAAAUCAUAAAUCAUUCAUAGUGUUUUCAAUUAGCUACUUCUCUAAUUUUCCCUCAUUUAGUCUUACUAUAUCAGUUAUAAUAAAUAUUGUGCUAUUCAUCUUAAAUUAACUGUCAUAGCUAAUUGAUAAACUCACCGUGUUAGUCACUUUAUUAAGUAUUUGAUAUCUUGAGCUAAAUUUUCCAUUACUUUCUCUGACUUGAUUUAGUUGAAACCAGUGCUUAUUUCUUUCUAUAACUCACAAACUGUUUAGUCAAUAUUCAUUCAUUGCAUUUUGAGUUAGCUCAUCACUAAUAGUUGUUUUGCAGCCAUAAUUUCUGCAAAUAUAAAGCUUGUGUAUUUGAAAAUGAGUUUAGUUCAGGAUCUUCUGACGGACCCUGAAACUUUUGAAAGUAAAGUAGUGUGAAGUUUUGUGAGAGUCAAAUCUGAUCCAAAUGACUACUUCUAACAAAAUUCUUACCAACUUCUGCAAGUUAUAGGUACUUUUUUUGUUGCAUAUAAAUGCAUGUGUGUUUAAAAAUUUGUGUUCAUGAGUUCUACUCUUUGAGCACAAAGUUUAUACGUGUGAUCCAUUAGUGGUUAAUGAAGCCAGAUUUGAAAAUGGAAUUGAUUUACAUGAUUUUUGUAAUUGUGUGGUCCUUGGUGGCAUGGUUAUGUUAAUCGAUGAAAUUUUAUUCAGUAUUGAGAUUUAUAUUUUCUAUAUUAGUUCAAUACAAUGAUAGCAAAAGGUGAUGUAAAGAAAAUAAUAAAUGGAACACAUCAUGAAUGAUGAUUAACAUUCAAUGAGAAUUUUAGUGAUUUUGCAGAAGAAUAUUUGUGGUCUAUUUGUCGGAUUCAUUAGCAACUAGUGAUGCAAGGUAGGACUAAUAUUAGUUUUAUAAUUUUUUGCUAGGAAUUGCAAUAUUAAUUGACAAUAUGAAUCAAAACAAUGAGCUUCAUCAUGUCUAGUGGUUAUAGAGAUAUGACCUUAUGUUAGAUAGUAUUUGAGAUCUUAUUAUUCAGAUUACUACUGCUUUUGUUUCUUGAGGUUAACUAAUUUAGCUGUUACCUUUAUUGCUUAAUAAUAGUGGUUCCUUGUCUUUUGAAUUGGAACCUAAUUAUUUCUUAUUUUGUCAUACUAUUAUUACUAGAAUAAUCAGAUUGUUGCCUAGCCUUGGUGAUUGUUAAGAAAAACACAAGGUAAACAAAUCAGAUUUUGAUUUUGUAAACUUUUGGCCUGUUGGGAAAAGGUCUAGGGUACUUAUUGAACAAAAUAGAUUGAGUUGGGAUGUGAAAAUUGCUCAAGUUACAUAUUACUUUAAGGGGAAAUUAACUACAUUCACAUUAAGAAAAUUGGUUGAAUGCCCUUAUAUGUUAAAUAUGGAAAGAAUGAAUUAACAGGAUUCAAAAGGCACAAAAACAGAGCUGGACGGAGUCUUGAUUACAUGUUGAGGUACUUUGUUCACUACUUGGGAUUUAUAUUACUCAAAUAUAUUAUUCUUUUGUAUUUUAUUUUAUCUUUCUUGAUGUAUGCUCUGCUUUUGCAUAUUGAAUUGGCAUAAAAUUGUGUUUUUCUUUGUUAAGAACCCAAUGUUGUUUUCUAUUGGUAAACAUGGUUGUUUUCAUAGAUAUAGACAUUCAGUGCUUCAAGUUGUAUAUUCUGUUCACAAUAGUGAAGGUAGGCUUAUCGGGUGCUCCAUUUUGUUUGAGUGAGAUUCUAUUGAUAUUAUGAACAUGACGCUUGCUUGCAGUUGUUGAAGUCCUAUAUACUUUUAGCAACAUGUUGAAAUUUAUUCAUGUUGUUAAUGGAAAAUACAAGAAUUGGAUGUUGGAAAAGAUGGAAAAGUUAGCAUGUGGUGCUAUUUAAAUUUAUUCAUUUUCGUCAUUUGGGAUUUUCAAUGUUUGCCCUUAUUGUACAAUAUGGUUUAUCUAUUAAAUUCAUAAUCUUAUGAAUACUAUUGCCAUUGCAAGUGGUAUAGAAAUAUGCUUGCAGAAACAUGGCAUGGCAAAGCUACCAUUUAAAUUUUCAGCUUUGAUUAUUUUUUUGUUGUUGUCAAAUAAGGAAGCGUGAGAAUUUAACUCCAUAGACUUGAACCAUUCCUAAAUUGGUGUGUGUAAGUAGUUUAGUUGGGCCCAAGGCCUUGUGGCCUCUAGCAGCGUGGGGCCAAGACAUAAGUGCUUGCAAGGAGAGGUUGGGGGUUCAAUUUUCUUAGGUGCUAAUCUAAAAACUAACCAUUGACAUAGUUUAGUUGGAGUUCAAAGGAACUCCUGUUGAUUAGGGGCACAUGAAGCAUUGUUCGAUUCUAGUUUAGGAAUUGUUGUCUAAUGUCUUUUGGUUUUGAGAAUUUGUUUAUACUUGUAACAUGGUUUCAUCAUCUGAAGCUCUUCUCAGUUUGCCACAUUCUGAUUUUAUCUAUCUCUACUUGCUUCAGAUUCAUCUGCAUGCGGGUACAUAUACAGUACUCAAUGUGACCUUCAUAAGGGCCCCAUCUCAUGCUUGUUGAAGGUGAAUGUUCCUCUUGUAUUUAUAGGAGAUAAUGUUUCACUUGGACUAAAAAAAGGUAUGGUGAAAAUGGAGGUUUUCUUCAACCUUAUGCGUAAGUUGUGAAGUUUUUUUUAGUUAGACAACUUGUGAAGCUUUGCUUUGUCUUAUCUUUUUAAACUCUCAAGCAACUUGGGUGUUUAUCAUUUUUGGUGAGAAAUUAUCUAUUGUUAGGGUUAUAUAUACUACAAUUGUGAGUGGUGUGAUGAUGAUUGAUGUCUAAGGUUUUGUUAAUAAUUAUAUGGCCUUGGCAAAAUUUUUUGUUUUCAAUUUUAUGGAAUUUUUUUUUCCUAUAGGGCAAAUUGAUAGAACUUGCUGUUUGAUGUAUAGUUGGUGUUAUUUUAGAAGCAAAGGUUUUCUACUAUUGGCUUCUUCAUGCAUGGAUCUCACACACUUCUUAAUAAUAAUGUUCUUCUGUAUGCGAGUUUUAUUUGUAGAGUUGUUAACUAUUGAUUUUUAUGUGCAGAGGCUUAAGAAGAAGACUCACUUCUUCUAAUCCGAGAGAAUUACAAAUUAAUUCAUUUCCUAAUUAUUUUAUUUCAUUUUUUGGAGGCUGCUGAAUACUUUCUUAAACUAUUUCUUUGCUAUGCUUUACCUGACCUAAUUUUGCUGCCGAGUGAAAUCUUAUUAUGUUAUCUUCACUUUCAGUGCAUCAUGUUAACCCAUUAAAAGUAUUCUAAUUUAGUUUUCUUUUUAUAAUUGUUAUAAUUUGAAAUGUCAAUUUUAUUGAAUAAGUGCUCACUACAAGAUAUUGCAUUUUUGGCGACUAAAUUUUUAGUCACUAAAAGUAAGAUUUUAGUUGCCAAAAAUUUUUUCAGACUAAAUAUUUUGGUCGCCGGAUUUGUCGCGGGAAGAUUGUCGGGGAAGGUAUUGGCGACUAAAAAAUAUUUAGUAGUGAUCAAAUUUUUAGUCGCCAAAAAUAAAGGUAUUGGUGACAAAAAUAAUCUUUAGUCGCUGAAUAAGGAUAAAUUUUCAGCUACUAAAAUAUUUGUCGCCAAAACUUGAAGUAUCUACAGCGAUCAAAAUAUUAGUGGCCAAUAUUUUUUUUAUGUGCAUCUAGCUUUUUUUUAACUACUAAAUGUUUAGUCGCCUAAAGUCUAAUUUUUGUUUAAGCUACUAAGGUUUUAGUUGCCAAAAGUGGUUUUCUCCUUUUUUUUUGGCUACGAAACAUUUAGUUGCCAAAAGAUUUAAUUCUUUUUAGCUACUAACUAUUUAGUCGCUAAAAAUAUUUAACUCUAUUUUUGGCUACCAAUUGUUUAGUCGUCACAAACAUCAUUUUGUUUAUUUUUUUGUUUCAAUUAAUUUGUCUACAACCUAUAUGUAUCCACCACAACCUAUAAUAAGUAUAACAACAAAACAAUAUAUAUAUAUAUAUAUAAUAACACAUAUUUCACUUACAACCAUCAAACAAAAAAGAAUAACUUAUAAUUUUAACUUCUAUACAAACCAAGUAUAUAUUCCAAUUGGAAAUAAUAACUUCAUACAUAACAAAUAAGUAUACAAAAAUCAUGUCCUCUUUGUACAAAAAUAUAUGUACUACUAUGCGAAAUGACCAUUUGGCAUGGUACAUAUUACCAUGGUAAUCUGUACCGCGACAAAAGGUAAUCUAUAAAUCAUGACAACAAAUACAAAUUUGAUGUCAAAAGUAUUUUGUACCCCACCAAAAGUUAUAUGUACGAUUUAUCCAAAUUCUACACAAAAAGCAGAGGACGACAAAAAAGUGGGAUAGUUCAAAAGUGUAAAUUAUCCUCCGACACAAAAAUAGAAGAUCCACAUGUCUAUGCCAAAAUUCAUCUAUAAAACAAAAAUUACACCCAUUAGCUCCAUAUAGCAUUUGAAUCUUAUUUCUAUGCCAAAAAAAGUUAUUAGAUCUGUAAAGGGAUUUUUUUUUUAAUUAUUUUUGGUUGAGGUGUAUAUGUAGUUUCAUCCUUGCAAUCAUAAUAUUUUGAAAAUGAAAUUAACAUUACUGAAAUGUUAAGAAUCUAAAUAACACAAAGUGCACAGAGUACAAGUCCAAUUCGCCUCUAAAAAAAUGACAACCAAUGUAAGGUUGUGCAGCAUAUAUUUCCAGCAGUAAUGAGGAAAAAUUUAGCCCCCAAAAAAUUACAAUUAAUGUAAGGUUGUGAAGCAUAUUCAAUAGUAAUGAGAAAAAAUUUAGCCCCUAAAAAAUGACAAUUAUGUAAGGUUGUGCAACAUAUUCAACAAUUAUGAGAAAAAAUUUAGCCCUUGAAAAAUGACAAUCAAUGUAAGGUUGUGCAGCAUAUUCAGCAGUAAUGACAUAAAAUUUCUCUGUGAAAUUACUUGGCAAUGCUUAUUUGUCAAACCAGAAUGUGAUUAAAGGUCAACCAUAAGGUUAAAUUGGGCCUACAAAUCAGGUAUGUUUCUCUUCAGCUUGGUUCUUUAUGACUCAGUUUGGUUGUCACAUUUAGCAAAAAUGUCACGUUGUUGAAUAAAUGUUUUAAUGUACUUAGAGAUCAUUGAAAUGGUUUUGCUUAUUGCAUAUAAGCUAUGAAAAUGCAAUAAAUUAGGCAAUUGAUUAGUCAAUCCAAACCGCCUAGAAUCUUAUAAAUGGACCUAUCUAUAUGAUCAUUUUCAUCAUUGAAAUGGUUUGGCGUUGCUUUACAUUUUCGCCCCUCAAACGGCCUUUUUUGACUAAGUUUAAGUUGUUUUUCACUGAAACUCCCAACUACAUGUGCUAAUUACAUCCCGCCUGUCCCCAAAUGUCCUAUUUGUCACGAGGAAGCUACUUGUGACAUCCAUAGAGGGAUUGCUGCUUUGCUUUUUUGGCCUCGAACGACCUUUUUCGACUAAAUUUAAGGUGUUUUUCACGCCAAUUCCCAAUCUACGUGUGCUAAUUACAUCUUGUCUGUCCCCACAGGUCCUAUUUGUCACGAGGAACCUACACGUGACAUCCAUAGAGGGGUUUGGGGGCUGCCUUGCAUUUUCGCCCUCGAACGGCCUUUUUCAACUAAUUAUACGGCAUUUUUCACAUCAACUCCCAACCUACGUGUGCUAAUUACAUCUUGUCUGUCCUUAUAGAUCCUAUUUGUCACAAGGAAGCUACCCGUGACAUCUAUAGAGGGGUUCGGGGGCUGCUUUGUAUUUUCAGCCCCAAACGGCCUUUUUUGACUAAGUUUACGGCGUUUUCUAUGCCAACUCCCAACCUACGUAUGCUAAUUACAUCUCGUCUGUUCCCACAGGUCUUAUUUUUCAUGAUGAAGCUACCUGAUACAUCCAUAAUGUGGUUCGAGGGCUGAUUUGCAUUUUCUCUCUCGAACGGCAUUUUUUGACUAAGUUUAAGUUUUUUUUUUUACUCAAACUCCCAACCUAUGUGUGCUAAUUACAUUCCGUCUGUCCCUACAAGUCAUAUUUGUCACGAUAAAGCUACCCGUUACAUCCAAAGAGCCUUCUAACAUGAAAUUGUCAGUGUGUUAUAUUGAUGCUAUUUACAGUAGAUUUUUCGCUUGCAGCAACCAAAACUUGCACAACAUGAGUCAAACGGCUAUGUGAAGGUCAAGCAUCAGCCAUUGUGUUGAAGGUUCAGAAUUGGCAGAAGCAAGGAUCUUAUCACACUGAUCAGCAGUGAAAAUAUCUGGUUAUGCUUGGUGAUGAAUACUUGAGUGGUUCUAUGUAGGGUAUGCGGGUGUGAAAGAGAGCUUGUGUGUGGAAAUUUGCCCCUUUUGGGGUAGGUCGGAUUGCCAUCUCCAACCAUCACUCCACCCCUCGUCCAAAGGCAAAAAAGAAGGGGAGAACAACAACUACAACUGAAAUAAUUUGUUUAAUAAGAACCAACAUCUGGAAUAAAUUAAAUGCAACAGACUUUUCCUUUA